rnacentral:SRP_RNA from 1 species
UCUGGGCUUGGUGGUGUAGACCUGUAGUCCCAGCUACUUGGGAGGCUGAGGCAGGAGGAUUGCUUGAGCCCAGGAGUUCGAGGCUGCAGUGAACUAUGAUUGCACCACUGCACUCCAGCCUGGGUAACAGAGCAAGACCCUAUCUCUU